UACGUAGGUGGCAAGCGUUGUCCGGAUUUACUGGGUGUAAAGGGCGUGCAGCCGGGCUGACAAGUCAGAUGUGAAAUCCCGCGGCUCAACCGCGGAACUGCAUUUGAAACUGUCAGUCUUGAGUACCGGAGAGGUCAUCGGAAUUCCUUGUGUAGCGGUGAAAUGCGUAGAUAUAUGGAAGAACACCGAUGGCGAAGGCAGCCUCCUGGGACGCAACUGACGCUCAUACACGAAAGCGUGGGGAGCAAACAGG
rnacentral:rRNA from 1 species